AGUACUUGGAUCUCCAUUUGGUCAUCCUCUUCAACAAGGUUUCAAUACUGGUCUAUCUUUGCAGCCUAAUGCACAUGACUACGGUUCCAAAGCUGCCAUGGACCAUAUGCUUGCGGUAUCAAAGCAUCACAUCCAGGUACUGGUUACAGACCCUGGUUUGUCACAGUUGCUCUUGCAACCAUGGCUGUAGGGUAUGAAUCUCAGUUUUAAAUUUUGACCUAGUAACAUCAGGGUACACUGUUGCCGUGCUAUUAGGGGUGAAGGAACUUGACUUGGGUAACGACAAGCUAAAUACACUCCUGCAUGAACUUGGAUGUAGAUGAGCCUUGAGUACAACAAAGAUUGUAGAACUACAGAUAAGUUAUGCCUAUGUCUUCUAUUUGUUUCCAAUUAUCAUUCACGAUGAUGCCUUUAGAAAUAAAUCUUUACUUGCAGGAGAAAGUGAAAAAAAUAACCUAAUGCUAAGGUGUUCUAGCAAGUCUAGUUGAUGAUUUAUAUGUUGCGCUUUUUCAAAGCUAAUGUCACCUUCCUUCUUCAUCACUUACACUUUGUUUUGUGGUAUUACUCUAGAAGGGAAUCUUUAGGUGCUAGAAAGCGUCAGGGGCCUCUUUAGUGUCUAAUCUUUAGAAUAGAACAUCUAAUCUGAAAUGGAGUACCAAAGAAAAAAGAGGGGGGACUAAGCGGGAUACAAAGUGAAGGACCAUAUUCACUCUUACUUGACUAGCCCUCAGCAUGUACCGAGAGUUUAGUUUCAUUUGCUAUAUUGAUUUACAAGAACCAAGUUCUUGGUUUCAGAAAAUCUUUUGAUAAUUUUUUACAAUUGUGCAGGAAUUUGACUUGGGUAACGACAAGGUAAGAUUUAUGUAACAGAUUUCUUUUUCAGAAUUCGCGAUGUCCCAUUUAAUAGCCUUCAGUAAUCAAUAGGUGAUGACUUUCAAACUCCAGUAGACAUAUGUGAAAGGAUUUAUUUAAGAAAAAAUCUUAUUUAAACGAUAGAAUUGAGGUUUACACCGUCUCCUUCAAACAAGUAUUAGGCAAUGAGUAUCAUUAACUGAACCAUUACAGUUAUCAACCUGAUAAAAGAUUAGAAAAAAAAAACUGUCCAUGUCGAUUUAUAAUCCGGACAAAGAUCUCAGCAUAAAAUAUGAAGAUAAAUGGCCAAACAAAUCUCGUCACGAAUAACUUAUAGGAGCCAUUGACUUGGUCCACAAGAAAUCAAAGAAGAUAUAUUUAUGCCAUUCUUAACUUUGUCAUAAAUCUUUUAAUUUAUAAUUAAUUCUUCAAUGCUCUGCCAUGACAUAUUACUCUGACCUAAUGUCUCUCGCUCUGACCUAAAGCUCGCGGAACCCUAUCAGUGCCACCGCUUGGAGUAGCCUAGCCUCCCGCUGAGCUGCUCCCCCUACUCUCCCUCCCCCUCCCCAUCCUUCCUUUGCUCCCUCUCCCUCUCCCUCUCCCUCUCCCUCUCCCUCGCAUCCUCUGCUCUCCUUCCUUUUCUUCUUCACCCUCUUCCUUUGAACAUUUUCUUCUGUCUCACAUGUCCGGGAGGUCGUGAUCCACCCUAAUCGCCUCCCCUUCUUUCCACUCGCAUCUCUGAUGAUGGUCUUACCAAGAUCCUUGAUCCUCCCUGCUUGAAUCGUUGGCUCCUUCUUCCACCUGAGAGCUCUAGGCCUGUCUUUGCUCUUUCUUGAGUUGCUGCUUUGUUCGAGCAUUGCUAAGUCAUCGUCCGCUGCACCGACCUACUCCCAAAAUGACUCGUUGGCUCCUCCCCCCUCCUCCGAUGCUUGCUGAGUCUGUUGGUGCUUAUCCAAGAGUCACUGCGCUGUUCGAGUGUGCUUCGGUGCCACGGAUCAUUGGAAUGCUCUCUUCUUGAUCCUUGGCAGACCAAUGCUAUCCUGGUGAUUUUGGCAAGCUUUUUGUAUGGCUUGCAACCCGUAAGGUUGCCAGUCAUGCUCGGCCAACAACCGCCACGCCGACGCCCUCUGAAAGGCAGACGCCCCCUUCGCGACUGUCUCCACCGUGAGGCCAGAUUCUCUCUUGGUGGUGGCCCUUCUUCGCAAGGCCCGUGCCCUGCCACUAUGCCUACCUUUUCUGUCGGAACUCCGAUUGAUGCCUUGAUGGUUGGAAGUUGAAAUGUUGAGACCUGUUGGUAGGGUUUGGUGGAACGCUACCUCCAAAUUUCCUAGUUUACCCCCUCCUUCUUGGGCUUUUGGGUUCCUGUUCAGCCUAUGUGGUCUUUUGAAUUGUAAGUUGUUGGGCUUCUGCCUCUUGUUUUUGCCCUUGUGGGGCUUAUGUUGUUCUAGACAUGUCAUUUGUGACAUGUCUUCCACUCCUCAAGCCCACUAAGCCUUAGUCUUAUAGGGCUUGUAAUAUCCCUUAGGGGAUAUAUUUCCCUCCCCAUUCUUUUAAUGCAUUUAUUAAUUCACCCAAAAAAAAAAUUAAUUCUUGGGACAGUUAUUAUCACUCUCUUAUACUCACCUAUAUUUAUGUACUUAAAGAAUCCUAUUCUUAACCUUUUUAAUGACGUUCCCUUACUUUAAAAUUUUCAUAUCUCCUUAUUUGAGGUUGUUAUCACUAUGUUAUAGAUCUUCCCCAAAUUUUAUUUAUCGUCAAUGGUUCAAUAUUUCUAUUCCUUUUUAUUGUUACAAAUUAUUGAAUAUAUCAUAUGCUAUAAAUUUGAUUGAUAUAGAUUAAUGAAAUGACACUCUGACUUAAAGAUAACAACCUUAAAUAACAGGAUUACAAUACUAUGGUCAGCAUUUUUUUCUGAUGAUCCAUUCUAUAAAUUCUUAAUAAUUGAUGUCAUUUUCCUUGACACCAGACUUCCAAGGCUCUAGUCGGCCUCUUCGACUUUGUUGAUAAGAUUAAAUAACAACAAUGUACUUUUUUGUUUUCUUUUGAGUGGGGGAAGGGGCAGGAGGGGAGGACUUCCCUCCUUGCUCAUAUGAUGGCAUAUAUAGGGCAUUAAUAUGAUAAUAAUAAUAAAAAAUUAUGAUGUAUUUAUAAAUGGAUGGGUUUUUUUGCUAAGGCAAAAGUUUUUUAGUCCAGUAAAACCAAAUAGUAUUUCCAUACUAACAUCAUGUCUUGCUGCAUUGAAGGGUGAUAUAGCAAUCUUGAUCAUGUUGACAUAUAAAACAAUGAGCGAGAGAGCGGUAAUCAGUCGUAUGGUUAUGUCAGCAUGUAGGCCAAUGAAGGGGCAGGCGAAGGUAUCGACCAUCAGUAAGGCUAAGGGGUCAGCCAAUGCCAAGCAAACCUGACCAAAGGGCUUAUACUCUAUUUGGAGGUUCAAUCUAGGGCAAAGCCGAGCCCACCUGCCAAAGGGCCUACCCUUUGUUGGGAGCUCAGGUCAAAGCCGAGCUUAUCUGAUUGGAAGACCUACCCUCGAUUUUUCCGCUUCUUAUCCAACCUUUACAAAAAAAGAAGCAAAAAAGAUGAAGUUAUUUAAGUUUAAAAAUUUUCCCAAAAUUUUUUAUAUGUGAAUAAAUUAUUUAUUACCAAAGAGAGGAAAAAACAAUACAAACCUGAAAGGGGAAAGAAGAGAGACAAAAGAAUACAUAAGGCAUACCCUCAAGAGGGGAGGGUCCCAGGAGAUAAUAAUAACACUCACAACGGAAAAGCCUAAAGGUCUAGAUCACUUAGGUUUCACAAUACCCUUUUUGGCCAUUAGAUCAUCCAUGAGUUAAGAGUUUUCUUGUUUUUAAUGUAUAUAAUAAGGUGAUGAAGAUAGAAUCAUUGAGUUUCCUUCCUUUAAACUUUUCCAAAAGAAAAAUCUGAUUCACCAAAGAGCAAAUCUUUCAAGUCUAAGACAUCUUCCGUCAAGCCACUGUCAGGACAGAGAAGAGCAGCUUCUAGGCCAUCAGCUUGAUUAGCCUUCUUAAUAAAUUUUUCCUUCUUGCCUGCUUUGUAUGAGUGGCUGAGUUAUUGGUGAACCAGAUUGCAUUUAGGCCAUCAACACGGAUGAGGGAGGUUAAUCCGAAUUGUUGCAUAUUGAAUACAAUAGAGUCAUUUUUUAUUUCGCAUUCAUGCAUUUCUUCAAUUACUGCUGUUGCAUUAAUAAUAUGCUAUAGAAUUAAGAAGCACUCGAUAUUUACAUAUAGCAAAUAAAUUAACUAACUUGGAUAUGUAGACAGAAUGGAAGCUUAUAUGGUCCCGUUUUUGUAAUACUUGGUGGUUCACCCUGGUACUUUGCGAUCACAUAGUCAUUUGGAAGCCCGGUUGCAAAACAACCACAGUCAACCGGUGUUGCCGUCUUCUCUAGUAAAACCGAACACCUUCUCAAUUCCCUCUACUUACAAUGACAGAUAGGUCCAUAUUCUACUUCGCUUUAUCUAUUUGUAUUUCUUUCUCGUAAAGUCUAUUGUAGAACAUGUUGACAUGAGUUUGCUUAUUUCCUUCAUACACUUUUUUCUAUACUUUGUUAUGUUCCUUAAAGAUGGUAGUAUUACUUUGCCACAGUCGUCUCCGUCGUCAGCAUCCCAUCCUUCAUCGCUCUCCAAAUCCUCCACUCCUCUGGCAUAUUUUAUUGUGUUGUUAACUUAGAGCUUUUUUUAUUAUUAUUAUUUUUCGAGCAGGGAUUAAACUUCACUUGGAAAGAUAAGAGGAAAAUAGUGGGUUGUGGUGUCUUUGAGAUAUGAAUCGAAACCGAGAGUGGUGAAGAUAGAAUCAUUGAGUUUCCUUUAAACUUUUCCAAAAGAAAAAUAUGAUUCACCGAAGAGCAAAUCUUUCAAGUCUGACACAUCUUCCGUCGAGCCACUGUCAGGACAGAGAAAGCAGCUUCUAGGCCAUCAGCUGGAUUGGCCUCCUUAAUGCAGAAUGGAAGAUUAUAUGGUCCCUUUUUUGUAAUACUUGGUGGUUCAAAACCAUAGUACUCUACGAUUACAUGGUCAUUUGGAAGCCUGGUUGCAAAACAACCUCAGUCAACUUGUGUCGGCGUCUUCUCUGACAAAAUGGAAGCUUAUAUGGUCCCUUUUUUGUAAUACUUGGUGGUUCAAAACCUUGGUACUCUGCAAUCACACGGUCAUUUGGAAGCCCGGAUGCAAAAUAACCUCAGUCAACUGGUGCCGGCGUCUUCUUUGAAUGUAAGCGUAUAUGGUCCCUUUUCUGUAAUACUUGGUCCUUCAUAAUCUUAUUACUCUGAAAUCACAGUCAUUUGGUAGCUUGCUUGCAAAACAACCUGAAUCACUAGUGCCGGUGUCUUCUAUGCAGGGAAUGAAAGCUUCACCAGUAAAGAUAGGAGGAAAGUAGUGGGUUGUGGUAUCAUUUGAGUGGCUACCAGUAGUACGUAAUCUUCUAUCAGUCAUAUGUCUCCACUUUCUUUUUAAUGCUCUCCCACCAGAUUAAGUUACCACUUCUUAACUGCAUGUAAGCUUGGCUUGGCCUUCAACACUAAAGACAUUUUUCCUAGGCUUGAAUUAGGCUGCCUGCAUGGUGUUUUAAGGAGGGUGGUGGAGCUCUGCUUGAGUGGCACACUCCAGAGUGCAGGAGCAUCUUCAGUGCAGUAGCCACACAGCUGCUGCUGUCUUAGUGGACACAUAAAUAAUUAGCUUUCUUUCUUCCUAUAUUUUGUUGGAAUGGUUGUCAUUUGGGAAUUACAGAGCAGAUGGAUGGAGUGUUGUGCUAAUCAGAGCAAUUGAUGAAUGACCUGGUACGAGUGGAUAGACUAUUCAAACAAACUCUAAAAGCUAGAAUUAGCAUACAGAUGAACCUAUUCGUGAGGAAUGCCCUCUGAUAUAUCAUCUAGAUUUUGCUGCAAUGUAUCCAAAUAUCAUUUUAACAAAAUGGCUCCAGUUACCCUCAAUGUGCCAACAUCUUUGGUGGCCAGUCUAUGCUGCUUGGAUGCAUAUUAUAUGAUCACUGGACUACAUUUUGAUUAUUGAAUAUUGUAACUUAUGACAUUCUGGAACUGGUUAUUCUGCACUGGUUAGGAAGCCUGGAAUUGUCUUCAUUAUAAUUGGAAGGUUUACAGAAUUGUCAGUAUGAAGGCUGUUUACGGGUAGAGAAUCUACGGUUCUCAGUAAGCACACCUUUUUACAGAUCAAGGUGAGCUACAUGUUUUUGUACAUUUAUGUUAGGUAUGCCAUGUGUAUAUUUUCUAAAUUCUGUAAGCCAAGUUCCAAUUUUUUAU